UGGGGAAUAUUGGACAAUGGGGGCAACCCUGAUCCAGCAAUGCCGCGUGUGUGAAGAAGGUCUUCGGAUUGUAAAGCACUUUCGACGGGGACGAUGAUGACGGUACCCGUAGAAGAAGCCCCGGCUAACUUCGUGCCAGCAGCCGCGGUAAUACGAAGGGGGCUAGCGUUGCUCGGAAUGACUGGGCGUAAAGGGCGUGUAGGCGGUUUACACAGUCAGAUGUGAAAUCCCCGGGCUUAACCUGGGAGCUGCAUUUGAUACGUGUAGACUAGAGUGUGAGAGAGGGUUGUGGAAUUCCCAGUGUAGAGGUGAAAUUCGUAGAUAUUGGGAAGAACACCGGUGGCGAAGGC
rnacentral:rRNA from 1 species